rnacentral:rRNA from 1 species
GACGAACGCUGGCGGCGUGCCUAAUACAUGCAAGUCGAACGAGAGCAACCGGUGCUUGCCCUGGUCAAUCUAGUGGCGCACGGGUGAGUAACACGUGGGUAACCUGCCCAUCAGAGGGGGAUAACAUCCGGAAACGGAUGCUAAAACCGCAUAGGUCUUCGAACCGCAUGGUUUGAAGAGGAAAAGAGGCGCAAGCUUCUGCUGAUGGAUGGACCCGCGGUGCAUUAGCUAGUUGGUGAGGUAACGGCUCACCAAGGCCGUGAUGCAUAGCCGACCUGAGAGGGGGAUCGGCCACAUUGGGACUGAGACACGGCCCAAACUCCUACGGGAGGCAGCAGUAGGGAAUCUUCCGCAAUGGACGCAAGUCUGACGGAGCAACGCCGCGUGAGUGAAGAAGGUUUUCGGAUCGUAAAACUCUGUUGUUAGAGAAGAACAAGUGCUAGAGUAACUGUUAGCGCCUUGACGGUAUCUAACCAGAAAGCCACGGCUAACUACGUG